rnacentral:rRNA from 1 species
GAACUGAAGAGUUUGAUCAUGGCUCAGAUUGAACGCUGGCGGCAGGCCUAACACAUGCAAGUCGAGCGGAUGAAGGGAGCUUUCUCCUGGAUUCAGCGGCGGACGGGUGAGUAAUGCCUAGGAAUCUGCCUGGUAGUGGGGGACAACGUUUCGAAAGGAACGCUAAUACCGCAUACGUCCUACGGGAGAAAGCAGGGGACCUUCGGGCCUUGCGCUAUCAGAUGAGCCUAGGUCGGAUUAGCUAGUUGGUGAGGUAAUGGCUCACCAAGGCGACGAUCCGUAACUGGUCUGAGAGGAUGAUCAGUCACACUGGAACUGAGACACGGUC